rnacentral:rRNA from 1 species
GAUAAACGCUGGCGGCGCACAUAAGACAUGCAAGUCGAACGGACUUAACCAUUAGUUUACUAUUGGAGCGGUUAGUGGCGGACUGGUGAGUAACACGUAAGCAACCUGCCUAUCAGAGGGGAACAACAGUUAGAAAUGACUGCUAAUACCGCAUAUGCCUAAGUACCACAUGGUACAAUAGGGAAAGGAGCAAUCCGCUGAUAGAUGGGCUUGCGUCUGAUUAGAUAGUUGGUGGGGUAACGGCCUACCAAGUCGACGAUCAGUAGCCGGACUGAGAGGUUGAACGGCCACAUUGGGACUGAGAUACGGCCCAG